ensembl:lncRNA
AUGUGGCAUUCCAUGAGACAGAUUAUCAACUGGACGCCAGGAACCCCAACUGAGGGGCAUUCGGAGAGCAGUCGCUCCCACACCCCCAGGCACAGAUCCCGACAGGCUGGCCAUCCCAACCCCCAAAAGACUUCUCCCUCUACAGAGAUCCUUCAAGCUAGAUGCACAGGCGGACCUCCACGGAGCCCGUUAAGCCGGAGGGCAACCUGCCCCGAGCUGGAGCUGCCAUGCAGGUGCACAACAUCCCAGCUCCACCGCCAAGCCUGUGCACGUUUGCUUGGGAGCAAGCCCCACUUGCACUCAAGGAGGAGCUUGCACCCAAGGCACACUGUGCACGCGCGCGCACACACAGGGCUGCAUGGCCGGGCAGCCCCACCCUGGGACCCCAGGAACGAGUCUCCCCUUCCCCCGCCCGUGGGAAACACACAGAACGAAGCUAGCCUAGCCCAACCCUGCAAUCGCAUCCGCUGUGCAGCUGCACCCCUCGGCCCCACAGCGCGGCGCCCUUCCCGGACACGAGGCCCCACAGAGCCAGAUCUAUGGAAUCCACCUCCUUGUUCAAUUGGAGGGGGGUUAAGAUGUUUGAUUCUUCCAGGGAAUGGGGGGGGCCUCCCUCCCUCUCUCCGUCAGGCGAGCGUGCCCCGGAUCGCAGCGCUGCACGCCGGUUCGAGCAAAGCUCCUCCAGCGCGGCUGCCUCUCUCUCAGGCCAGGGAGCUCAUCUCGUCAGCCCCUAAAGAGCCUAUGGCACCUGGUAUUCCUAAGUGGGCCCUGAUCCAGAAACUGCAUUGCUGUUUGACCCUUAAACCAGCAGAGGGAGCUGUGGCUCUAUCCUCCGCUGCAGAAGCAAUUGGCAAGCACCGCUGGAAUCACUGCUGA